AGUGAACGCUGGCGGUAGGCCUAACACAUGCAAGUCGAACGGCAGCACAGUAAGAGCUUGCUCUUACGGGUGGCGAGUGGCGGACGGGUGAGGAAUACAUCGGAAUCUACUUUUUCGUGGGGGAUAACGUAGGGAAACUUAUGCUAAUACCGCAUACGACCUACGGGUGAAAGCAGUGGAUCUUCGGACCUUGCGCGAUUCAAUGAGCCGAUGUCGGAUUAGCUAGUUGGCGGGGUAAAGGCCCACCAAGGCGACGAUCCGUAGCUGGUCUGAGAGGAUGAUCAGCCACACUGGAACUGAGACACGGUCCAGACUCCUACGGGAGGCAGCAGUGGGGAAUAUUGGACAAUGGGCGCAAGCCUGAUCCAGCCAUACCGCGUGGGUGAAGAAGGCCUUCGGGUUGUAAAGCCCUUUUGUUGGGAAAGAAAAGCAGCAGGUUAAUACCCCGCUGUUCUGACGGUACCCAAAGAAUAAGCACCGGCUAACUUCGUG
rnacentral:rRNA from 1 species